rnacentral:ncRNA from 1 species
ACAACCGUGAUUCCGUGAGUAGUGGCGAGCGAAAGCGGAAGAGGCUAAACCGUAUUCGUGUGAUACCCGGCAGGGGUUGCGUGUACGGGGUCGUGGGACUUACUGGUCAGUUCUGCCGGACUGGCAAGGAGUCAUAAAAUGUCGUGGUUAGCGGAAUGCGUCUGGAAAGCGUGGCCGUAGAGGGUGAAAGUCCCGUACGUGAAAACCCGACAUCUCCUAGUGAUGUUCCCAAGUAGCAGCGUACUCGUGAAAUUCGCUGUGAAUCUGGCGGGACCACCCGCUAAGCCUGAAUACUCCCUGGUGACCGAUAGCGGACUAGUAC